CGAGACUGAAUAUUCAGUGCUUAUCAGGGCUGCACAAUUAAUCAAAUAUUAAUCGCAAUCACUAUUUUGGCUUCCCACAAUAAAAUGAACAUGAUCGACUACGAUGUUGGCGUUUAAAAUGCGCGCUCUGU